rnacentral:rRNA from 1 species
UACAGAGGGGGCGAGCGUUGUUCGGAAUUACUGGGCGUAAAGGGCGCGUAGGUGGCCUGUUAAGCCGAACGUGAAAUCCCCUGCUCAACUGGGGAACUGCGCCGGAAACUGGCAGACUCGAGUACCGGAGAGGAGGGUGGAAUUCCUGGUGUAGCGGUGAAAUGCGUAGAUAUCAGGAGGAACACCGGUGGCGAAGGCGGCCCUCUGGACGAGUACUGACGCUGAGGCGCGAAAGCGUGGGGAUCAAACAGG